rnacentral:rRNA from 1 species
UACAGAGGUCUCAAGCGUUGUUCGGAUUCAUUGGGCGUAAAGGGUGCGUAGGCGGCGCGGUAAGUCGGGUGUGAAAUCUCGGAGCUUAACUCCGAAAACUGCAUUCGAUACUGCCGUGCUUGAGGACUGGAGAGGAGACUGGAAUUUACGGUGUAGCGGUGAAAUGCGUAGAUAUCGUAAGGAAGACCAGUGGCGAAGGCGGGUCUCGUGGACAGUUCCUGACGCUGAGGCACGAAGGCCAGGGGAGCAAAACGGG